rnacentral:rRNA from 1 species
GCAAGUCGAACGCACUCGACCUUCGGGUCACAUGAGUGAGUGGCGAACGGGUGAGUAACACGUGAGAAACCUGCCCCAAAGUCAGGAAUAACCCACUUAACAGCGGGCUAAUACCUGAUGCCGUCUGUGGACCGAGUGGUUCGUUGACGAAAGAUUUAUCGCUUUGGGAGGGUCUCGCGGCCUAUCAGCUAGUUGGUGAGGUAACGGCUCACCAAGGCAUCGACGGGUAGCUGGUCUGAGAGGAUGAUC